rnacentral:lncRNA from 1 species
GUCGCUCCACAUUAUCUCCGUGAUCCUGGAUGUUCUUCUGCAGUCCUACUGUGACAUCCGCCGCGGGCCACUACUACAGCAAAUAUCCGAGUGAGUUGCAGUACAACUUGAGCUAGAUGAGAGGGUGAUAAAUUUAAGAAGAAUCAGGGACGUAUGCGUGUUGUGCCAUUGAUCUUUCUUUGAACAAUGAUUCUCUGCCAUGGACGGAUGCCUUCUUUGUAGAUAAGGGCAUAUGACACUCUAUGCUCUGAAGGUGCUUGUUGAUAUGCCAAUGAGAACAUAUACAUUUUUCUGCAGGUUUUCUUGUUGAUUUAUGAGGGUACCACAAGUUCUAUUUUUAUAGAAGUUGAACUAAAGGAUAUGAAGUUUGAUGGAUGUGGAGGUUCUUUUGACCUUGAAUUUUAUAAGAGUUCAGCUUUUACUUGAUUUUCAGUUCAAAAUUUGCAUUCUUUUCACUACAUCAACUUUAACGUGUAGAACAUCAAGGAAAUCUUGAAAAUUAUAUGUGCACUCUAUGUCUUUUUCUUAUGCUUACAAGUAUUCUGCACUCAUACUAUUAUGCAUACGUUCAGGUCACGUGUGGAGUUUCAGAUAUAGGCAAUUGAAUUAGAGCACCAUGCUCUCACCCAUGUAAUUUGUAGGGAAAACAUAAUAAGUUCUAAGAAAAUAAAUAUAGAAGUUCAUAUUUCGAAACAAAUGAAGUAUUUGGGAACUAAAUGAAGUGUUUCAAAGUACAAAACUUCUAUUUAGGUUUCUUUUGUGUACUUCUAAUGUUACUGUGCAUGAACUUGUCGUUAUUUUUACACGUUUUUCAUGAUUAUGGUCAUUUCGACCAUGAAAAAUUAUGUUUGCUUUUUUCCGUUCAUCUUACAUGUCGAAGGAGCUCCCUUCAGUUCAAUGGAUUCAACAAAAUAAUCCAUGCUGCCUACUAGAACUUGUGUGUGUGUUGUGGCGUGUGUGCUGGUGCAUGCCUGGUGGCUGAUGCGGCGUGCGAGCAUGUACAUAAAUUGAACUGAAUGAUCUCCAGUAAGUGAACUCAAUGAUCUCCUGUAUCUGAACGACCGGGGAGAUGCAUCAUGUACAAAAAAAUGGUAGGAUCUUGAGGUGUUGCUGCUACUUCUUUCUUCUCAUGCCCUACUAUUGCUCCAUUCGAUUACAUGCUACUUAUAUGAAAAUAAUUGAUGGUCUAGGUACUUUUUGAAAUGCUUAUGACAACCAAUUUUUGUUGUUUGGUAUUUUUGCUGUUCAAGAAAAAUACGAAAUCCUUUUACUGCCCUCUUUCUUGUCUCACUCAUUCAUAGUAUUAUAUGUACACAAACCCAUGUCAUCUUGAACUUGUUGUUAUUAUUACCGGUGCCAAAAACUAGUGUCUUGUUUUGCUAAUGUCGAUCCCACAGUCACUGCCGUCUGCGCCCCACAUCCCCGUGCCACCCGUCGAAGGCUCUUGCUACGCAGAGAUCCAACGAAGAUAUGUUUUGGUUAAUUUUUGGUCAGUUAAUAUUUCGGUGACGUGCUCAGUUCAGUUUAUUAAUUUACUUCAGUGCAAUUUCUUAUUUUUGGUUCAAUUCAAAUUCUUAUUUCAGUUUAGUUAUGUAUAGCAAGAAGAAUAUCUUGCUGUAACUUGUCUCGGUUUUAUUAGUGUCUUACUUUCCUACAAAAGCGAAAGCAUAAUGUUGUUUCAUGUCAUAAGGUUUUCUCUGAAACAUACGGGGCCUAAGAUAAUGAAGCAAUAUAAACUCUACUGUCUCAUCAAGAUCUUAUCAUGAUACUUAUUUGAACAAUUCAUCCAUUUUCUUGGGAUUGAACCUACCGGUUCCACUGCUCAAAUUUAUUGAGCUUCUGACUUCAAAUUCUGAACAUCUUAUGUUACUUGUGCAUACAAGGGGGAAACUGAUUCUGAACAUCUACCAAGGCUCCUUGCUGGAUAUCGGCGCUAGAGGGGAACGGACACCAUCGUUGCCCCGUGCCCAUAGACUUCUCUUCUACAAUGCAAGGUUCAUUUUCCUCUUAAACAUUUGCACGAAAAAGAAUAGAGCUACUCCGUACACAUUGUGCGUCGGUGUCAGAACAUGUUAUACUAAUUAGUAAGUUCAGGAACUAUGUUCCAAACUGACCUAAGACAAGGAGAGAGGGAUAUACUGACAGAGUGUUGUGUUGUGUGCUGUUAGUUCAGAAAAGUUCAGGGAAAAAAGCAGAUACUCGUCAUCGGUUAUGAAGUAGAUAGAGUACAUAAGAUGGCUACCAUGGUCUAUGAAGUACAGGCAAAAAGGUGCCACCCGCCGUCGGCACUCUCUUGUCGUGACGUACAGGCCAAGCAACGUGACUACAUGAGAAGGGUCAGCAUUAGCGGGAGCAGGGUAUGGAUGAGGAAGGAGCAUCAGUAUCUUCACUACUGCUACUGAUUCGUCUCCAUCCCUCUCUCACAUGUGAAGGUGAGCUUCAUAAUAGUUUAGCUAGACCUAUUCGCCUUCCUUUUUCUGAAUUUUGUUGGGAGCUAGUAGUACCUAAAAGGAGAAAGCUGGCAACUCCGUUUACCUAAACAUGUAUAGCACGUGUCAUGCUACAGAAAUUUGUUGGAACCGGAUGAGACUUUUGCCGCUCCCCUUGUAUUCCUUAAUAUAGUCAGUUCACGUUUUAAAAUCCUGUAAGGCUAGAUAUAUUACCUAAAAAGGUUUAAAAGUAUAAAUUCUGUAAGUUCAGUGUGUACGCGCCUAAAAUUCUGAGCUUCUUGUCCAGUUAUACUAGUACUAAUGAAUAUCGAGUUGAUUGAAAAAUGUAGUUGAUUCCUGAGACCCUUGCUAGUCCUUCUAUAUAAAGAAAAAAAUCAUCGUGAGAAGAGAAAAAUGUUGCUCUAGUUAGUUCCUCUUGCAGCUAUAUCAUGUACAAGCUCUUGUAGAUACAACAUGUAUAGGCUCUCGUUAUUAUAUGCCUAGAUUAGCACUUAUCAUUUAUGUAACUAAAUUAUGUGUAAUUUCUUCCUGUUCAAGCAUGUUUAUAUGCCUAGCUAUCCCAUGUGCUUGUGGUUGUUUUUUCUUGAAUAUAUAUUUACGGUCCAGGCCUCCCUCCAUCUCGCACCGCCCAGCGGCCUCACCCCAUCUAGCAAAAUGGUUUAUGCCAGAAUCUAGAUGAUAUUUAAUGUAGAUACCAUAGUUUCACCCUAUUUUUGGUUCUUAUUAUUCUUGCAUACCUCUUUAAAAGAAUGUUCCUUAAAUGUUUGUGAAAGUUGCUUGUAGGUAUUCAUGUGGAAUUUAAAAUAAUGACUGUUCUUGUAGGAUGUUUGAAGAUUAUCGUGGAGCAAGUUCAAGAGAUUAGUUUCGUGAAAAUAAAUGUGAUAUUUUGGGAUUUCGCAUGAUCCAUAGCCAUCGGUGGCAACAGGCGAGCAGUUCGAGGCCUCCUGCAUGAGUCGUCCAUCAUCUUCUAUGCGUGAGCUUGUUGUCUCUACACAUCUAGCAUCAGAGUAUCUCCUCCCCUUCCGCACACACAUGUCAGGCGGUUGAGCUACUAUUGUUUGUGAUUACUGGUCGUGACUCUUACGUUGUCAUUGGACAAGAAUUUUUUUCUGUAACUCUGUAUUUGCAGGACAUUUAGCAAAAUAUUGUUGUGUUCUAAGUAUUCUAAUGUAGGCGAAAAUGGUGAACAUUUAAACACCAGCCCGAAUUAAAUGAAACUGGGAAGUUUUACUUUCAGUAAAUGGGUGAACCUAGAUGCAACAAAGCUCUGCUAUUAGCUGUGGGGAUUAUCAGUUCAUGUGUAUUGUGUUCUUUUUGUCGGUUAAUGUAUUUUCUGGUUUGUCAGGUCAUGUGCAAGUUUGUUAUUAGUUCAUGUAUAUGUGUAUUGGUGAUCACUCCUAUUGCUGCUAGCUAUCGAUUAGACUAUGGUAUUACUGCGUCUGCUUCAUGUAAUUAGCCCCUUUGUUGGGUGAAUCUCCUACUACUUGCUAGCUUUGGAAUUGUAAAAACAUACUAAGUUCACAAUUUAAAAAGUUGUAAGUUUAACACGAUGUCUCAGAUAAGUUUUAGGAAAAAGGUCAAACACACAAUAUUUUGCUUAAAAAAUGUCGUUCAGUUCAAAUGGUAAAAGUUC